GUAGUCUCGCACAGAUGCAUAUCAAUAAGCGGAGGAAAAGAAACUAACAAGGAUUCCCCUAGUAACGGCGAGUGAAGCGGGAAGAGCUCAAAUUUGAAAUCUUAAAGGGUUUCCCUUUACGAAUUGUAGUUUAAAGAAGUGUUUUCUGUUGAGGUUUUGGUAAAAGUUCUUUGGAAUAGGACAUCAUAGAGGGUGAGAAUCCCGUAUUUGACCUUUACUUUCAACUUUGUGAUACACUUUCAAAGAGUCGGAUUGUUUGGGAAUGCAGUCCAAAAUGGGUGGUAAAUUUCAUCUAAAGCUAAAUAUUGGCGAGAGACCGAUAGCGAACAAGUACCGUGAGGGAAAGAUGAAAAGAACUUUGAAAAGAGAGUUAAACAGUACGUGAAAUUGUCAAAAGGGAAGCGUUUGACACCAGUGUUGUUUUUCUGAAAAUCAAUUAAAGAACUGUUUAUGCUAAGCUGUUUAGACUUUAUCAGCUAUCUGUUUAGUUUUGAGCUUUUCUUUAAUGCACUUUUCAGUUAACAAGUCAACAUCAAUUUCUUUUGCUGUAAAAAAGCUUGAGGAAGGUGGCUUGAGAUUCGUCUUAAGUGUUUAUAGCCUCUUGCCUAUGCAGUCGGAGAGAUUGAGGUCUGCAGCGUAGAUCCUUCGGGGCUAAAUGCAUUUGUGCUAAGUUAUAACAUUUUAUAGACAACUUGUUGACUAUGAUUUGUCUUGUAGCUUACUCGCUUAUGUUAUUUUACCUACGCUUAGGAUGUUGACAGCAGUAUAGACUGU
rnacentral:rRNA from 1 species